AUCUGGCUAGUGUGAAAAAGGACAGCAAGGAUAUUAUGCCAAUUGGUAAAAGGUUGGGGGAGAAAGUGUUUGCAGACAGUGCAUUGAAACUAAAGCCUUACUUGACACAAGCUGUAAAAUCUUUGGAUCUCUCUUUGCAUGAAUACAGUAAAGUUGUUACCUCGACACUGGAAGGAACUACAAAAACCAAUUGACUGUUGGGAGUAAAGCAGCUACUGCAUCUUCAGAUGGAGCAGUUACCCACAUGCUGGGGAAUCAGUAAUCAACCAGCUCUACUGCAAAGGACACAUACAAGUCUGAGACUAAUGACCCACAUGCUGAGGAAUCAGUAAAAUCCUAACUCAUGUACACAACUGACAGAAUAUUUCGACCAUGCGCUUUCAAGUAUUCUUUUUAGUAUUUAAAAUUCUCUCUUUGAUAAUUC